AAACCUGCUCCAAAUGAAACCUAUAUGUGCGUGUUGGUUGGCGGUGAAACGCGAUGGAGGAAAGCAAGACAGCAGGAGAAGAAGAAAGGGAACAAGAAAUUUGGAGCUGGGGAGCUGGUACAGAAGGACAAUUAGGAUCAGGGAGGCUUCAAGAUGAGGACACUCCUCAACUCCUCCACUCUCUCUCCUCUUUUGGCCCAAUCUCUUCCCUCUCCUGCGGCGGCGCCCAUGUCAUUGCACUCACCCCUGAUGGAACAGUGUUGACAUGGGGGAGGGGCACUUCUGGGCAAUUGGGCCAUGGGGAAAUGAUUAACAGCUUACAACCGAAGCUGGUAAAGGCUUUGGAAGGCCUUGUUAUUACUCAUGUCUCUGCUGGCUGGAGCCACUCUGGAUUUGUUUCAGAUACUGGUUUGUUAUUCACCUGUGGAGAUGGGUCAUUUGGUCAGCUUGGGCAUGGUCACUAUAAAUCGCAAUGUACACCAAUGGAAGUCUCAUAUUUCAGUUCGAAGCAUGUUGAGCAAGUUGCUUGUGGGAUGCGUCAUUCACUGGUUUUACUAAGAGAUCCUUUGCGAGAUCAAGUUUAUGGAUUUGGUUCUGGAAAGCGUGGUCAACUGGGUAUAUCUACCGAUAAAGUCAAAUCAGCAAGUCUUCCUCAGAUUACUUUGGGAUUUACUGAUGUCAAAAUCGUCAGUAUUAAUGCAAAUGGAGACCAUAGUGCGGCAUUAUCUGCUGGUGGACAUCUUUACACAUGGGGAAGAGGGUUUCACGGUGCCUCAGAUUCGUAUAUUCCGCAUUGUAUUCCUGCAGAUUUGUCAUUCAACCAGGUUGCUCUUGGUUGGAACCAUGCUUUGGUGCUAACAAGUGAGCAUAAAGUGUUUAUGCUCGGUGGCUAUCAUCAUGGAGCACUUGGUGAUCCUCAGAAAACAGCCUUGUUGAAGCACACAUCUGAAGAAUUAAAGGGAGGGAUCCUGAAAAGAAUUCCUAAUCUUGAUGAAACAGAAGUUAUACAUAUUGCUGCAGGUGCUGAGCACUCGGCUUUAGUAACAGGGAAAGGAUCACUAAUGGCAUGGGGUUGGGGUGAACACGGUCAGCUUGGCUUAGGGGAUACUGUUGAUCAAACUGACCCUCAGGUGGUGAGCUUAGAUCAUAACCUAGCCGAGGAAUGUGCCAUAGCCAGAGUCUAUUGCGGGAGUGGAUUUUCCUUUGUUCUAAGGACAUGUGAUGGGCAUUUCUCGAAUCGGAUAAGCAAUAUCAAGGAACUAAGAUCGUAAGGCAAGCCAUCCAACUAUCCGCUUCAUCUUGUACGAAGAUAUUCUGUGAAAUUGGCAAUUCCACAACGAAUUAGCCUGAAAUAUGUGCUUAUUGUUUUUGAAGUAGGGACUUGAAAGCCUUGUUUGUUUGCUGUUUUACAGUAUUUGUUGGGCUUUCCCUCCACUUGUGGGACUUGCCCUUUCUUGGCCCAUUUGGGCCCAACCCACUUAAAAGCCCCAAGUCCAUUCCAAUAUAGAGGCAGAAAAUGGGGCUUCAUUUCUAAGACACAAAAUUACAACAAAGGCAGAGAGACGGACGAGAGAGAGAGAGACACUUCGGUUCUUCAGCUUUUUCUCGCCAAUGAUGGAGGCUCGUUUGUGGUCCGAUUAAGCUAAUAUUUCAAUAUGUUAUUCGUGGCGCAAAGGGCUAUGUUUUGAUUGGAGCCGAUCAUCCAGAUUCCUAUCCAUUUCUCUGGGCCGUACACACUAAUUUAUAUUGGAUUGAGAGUGAUAGCAAAGGAUCAAGACAGAUCUGUGCAGAUAAUCAGUACAAGAAAACACACGGCCACUUACAUUUAGAAGAAACUUGGCAUUGAUCUCGUUCUCGUUCUCUAUGCAAAAACAUUCGGUGAUUCAAAAGCAUCUCUGUGGAAAACAUAGGCAAGGUGUGAAAAUGAACCAACCUUGUAUCUACCAGGAUACAACUUCAGGUAAUUAGCGGUUCGAGCUGAUUAAACUAAAUAUAGCUGACGGGCGGAUUUAUUAAAUAUAUUCAAGGAAUGAUUUUUUCUGGUUAUGGUUUUGAGUAAUUUUUUGGACCUUUUUUUUCCUCUGUAAACUAAACUUAUUGAAACCUGCGACUUUGUCUUGAGAAGAUUGAUUUAUUAUUAUGAAUGUUCUUUAAUGACUAGUCU